AGACUGUCAUUUUGAACUUUGUCUCACUCUGAAAGCAGAAAAUGGCCGAAAGGUUUUGGCAAGCAACCUUCUUGGGAGAAAUGCAAAUACCAUUGAUUUUUCGAGGCCUCUCAUGGAUGAAGACAUGCUCCUUUUUACAAGUGUGGUCAGGUUCCCUGAUAACUCUUUGUAUGAUCAUGUGGUUGCAGUACCUUGCAGGAACGGGAACGUCAUUCUGAGGGUAGUCCACAUGCAAGUGUUCUAAAGUUGACAUCACUGCUUCAUCAUUCACCUCAUUUUCCCAGAACAGAAGCACCAAGAAAAUUAUCACCAUUAUUAUCAUCAGAGUGCAGAUCCUUUUUUAAUAGCGAGAACAUUUAAAACCUACUCUUCGAAUAAUUUUGAAAUCUACAAAAUGGCAGCAUGGCCCAGGAGUGUGACUGGCAGUGAAGGAGCUGGGAAGACCUUGGAUGCAGGAAGGUCAUUUAAAGCAAAAGAUUAAGAAGCAGCAAUGCCCCUCUUGUGGCAAGAGUUGGCAGCGUGCGGUUGGUAUGUCAAUGCAUCCAAGGUCCAAGGGCCUGGAUUGUCUGCCAAAUGCUUGGGAGUUGUUUGAUCAGGUUGACAUGCUCCAACAGCAUUGUGGACUGGGCCCACACCUACGCUGAGGUGACCAAUGUCUCCAACUGUUGGAUCUGCUCCACCUUCCAGCAGCAGCUGCGGAGAGUUUGCCCUGGAACGCGUAUCCUGCUUCUGUUAAGAACUGGACAUGGCUAGAAGCUUGGGGUCCCACGGACAAUGGGUGGGAUGCCACAGGGCGGGCUUUGGAUAGGAGGCAUCACAAAACCCAUGGCAAACCUGGCCCUUGGCUGACUCAUAGUGUCCAUGAUGGAUGGAGCUGGCUAAUGGGAGAACACGUGGUGCCCCCAUUGCAGGUAUCACAAUGUAUAGAGCAGCACUGGGGUAAAGUCACUGUGGGAUGGUUGCCUACUGAGGUUUGUGCAAACAUAACAUGUGUCACCACACCAAGGGUGCAGUGGAACAAGCGGCCUUACGAAGGCCAGGCCCCCAUGGACUUUGUGCCCCCUGGGAGUUUAUGGGUCUGUGGGGACACAGGAUGGCCAUAUCUCCCAGCCAACUGGACUGGACAUUGUACCUGGGGUUGGCCCUAUGUGCCUGCCACUGGGCUUCCCACAUUGCCUAGUCGCCACAUAACUGGGAGCCACUGUGUUCCUGCUUUUUCCCAGUGCAGCAGGCCCUCUAGUGGUUCUAUCCCUUAGCAAUGACUAUCCCUGGAGCAGGCGUCAUUACUAUAGAAAAGCAAGUUGCAGCCUUUGCAGACCACACAGCUCGGUCCCGAGUUGCCCUCCUUUUGUUAACUGAUGAAGUUGAUCAGAUCAGGAAGGUGGUGCUGCAAAACCAGAUGGCCUUAGACAUAGUCGCAGCUGCCCAAGGUGGCACCUGUGCCCUUGUAGGGACACAAGGUUGUACAUUUAUCCCUGACAACCACUGGAAUAUAAUGGCAGCUUCACAAGGGGUGUCAUAGGAGAUUAAGGUGAUUGAGCACCUUACUGAUGACCCCCUGCAGAGAUGGUGGGCGUCUUUGGGAUCUGGCCUACAAUGGGCUCUCAUAAUCAUAGGUAGCAUAGCAGGAAUAUUAGUGGUAGGUUGUUGCUGUCUGUGUUGUUGCUGUGGCCUAUGGGUCCAGGGUGCUGCCACAUGUGCAUGGGUCCCCACCAAGAGGAUUCCCUGGCCUAGAGGGUGGAGUGUAAGGAACAUGGCUGUGUGCAGGCAAGCAGGCAUAGGCCAAGGUAAACAGCCUAGAUGACUCAGUGGGAUUGGGGCACAAGUGCACAGUCCCAUAUCUUAUAUAAUCAUAGCCGUGUAGGCACAACAUAAAGAAGCUCCCCACCUGG
rnacentral:lncRNA from 1 species